rnacentral:rRNA from 1 species
CCUACGGGAGGCAGCAGUGGGGAAUAUUGGACAAUGGGCGAAAGCCUGAUCCAGCCAUGCCGCGUGUGUGAAGAAGGCCUUCGGGUUGUAAAGCACUUUCAGUGGGGAAGAAAGCCUUGGGGCUAAUACCCUCGAGGAAGGACAUCACCCACAGAAGAAGCACCGGCUAACUCCGUGCCAGCAGCCGCGGUAAUACGGAGGGUGCGAGCGUUAAUCGGAAUUACUGGGCGUAAAGCGCGCGUAGGCGGUCUGAUAAGCCGGUUGUGAAAGCCCCGGGCUCAACCUGGGAACGGCAUCCGGAACUGUCAGGCUAGAGUGCAGGAGAGGAAGGUAGAAUUCCCGGUGUAGCGGUGAAAUGCGUAGAGAUCGGGAGGAAUACCAGUGGAGAAGGCGGCCUUCUGGACUGACACUGACGCUGAGGUGCGAAAGCGUGGGUAGCAAACAGGAUUAGAUACCCCGGUAGUC